AAAGCUCGACCUUGUUUGUGAUCAGUACGUUUAUUGAGCCAACAUAUUGAGUACGGGAGCUUAGUCUUUCCCAACUGCUUACGGGUAGAUGGGAAGCGGGCACCCACCUGCUGGAGCAGGUUCAAUAAAUAAGCGGACACGGCAAGGUGGAGCUUUG
rnacentral:other from 1 species